ensembl:lncRNA
GCUCUUGAUCUCCGAUCGCUGCCUCAGCUCUUAUUCGCCUCGUGAGACACAGAGGGAUAAUCGCUGGCACACAAGCGUUAGGGAAAACUGCAUACUGACAUACAUUUUGAGAUUGCAAGAUUUCCUAAUUGCGACACCAGAGGUUCCUGAUUAGCGCUCUGUCGCAUAACAAAGGUGCGAUUGGAGAGCUGAUGAGAGGACAAUUCUGCCAGGAUAGGUGGAUCCAGAAUUGCAAUUUUUUUUUCUUUUUUACGUCAUAAUAGAGGAGACUGUGAUGUACCUCAGGCUUAGCCAAGACUGAGGCCAGACCAGACCCCUGUACUGCAGGAUAAAGCUGAAUGUGCCAGCUCUGGACAGGUUUUUAAUGGUUUUUGGCUGAGCAGGGAGGCCAUUACAGUGCUGCUGGAUCUUCUGAGAAGUGCCACAAUCCAGACCCUGGUAUUUCUCUUCUGUCUGCCAGUGAUACCUCAUACAGAGUGGUCUCCAGAAUGUUUGACAUGUGCCUCGUUCCACUGUCCACUGCAUUGUCCUCCGAGUUGCUGAGGAGGUGCUGGCCAUUCACCAAGAGAUUCACCUCCUGAAGACCCCAAAACACAUGGAGGCAGUGCUGGCCUCAAAACUGAUGUUGUUGAUGUUAAACCUAAGCUAUGUUGUAAAUAGUUGUAAAAAGUACUUUCAGUAAUGUAUUGAACUUUUUGUUUUAAUGUGUAAAAAAGAUUAUUUACAGGACAAAAUAAAUAAAUAAAUAAAUAAACA